rnacentral:lncRNA from 1 species
CUCUAUUCGGCAGCGAACAUCAACGGAAUGUAACGAAUGGACUAUUCGGGUUACUUCGCACGUAUAUACGACAAAAACUUGUCUGUUCGUAAUUCUCCAUGAACACGAAAAUGAACGAUAAGUGUCAGUGAUUUGAUCAUCACAUGCGGAGAAUCAACUUCCAUGCCAGAUAUUGAACCAAUUAACGAGUUAUCGAAAGAUGGGCGGUAACGCAGAUGAAACCUUUGAAGUGAGGAC